UGAUGGUGCCACAUAGAGACAGCCAGUACAGUCUGUGAAGUGGUUGGCAUUAGGAAGGGCAUCCAACUGCAGAAACCAUACCAAAACAGAUUUGGAACCUGGUGUAGCCCCAGGCCUUGUUAGUUCCUGUCAAGCCGUCCAACCCAUGCCAGCAUGGAAAAAAGAUGUUAAAUGUUGAUGAUGAUGAUGAU